CCUACGGGUGGCAGCAGUGGGGGAUAUUGCACAAUGGGGGGAACCCUGAUGCAGCGACGCCGCGUGGGUGAAGGAGCGUUUCGGCGCGUAAAGCCCUAUCGGCAGGGAAGAAGGAGGACGGUACCUGACUAAGAAGCCCCGGCUAACUACGUGCCAGCAGCCGCGGUAAUACGUAGGGGGCAAGCGUUAUCCGGAUUUACUGGGUGUAAAGGGGGCGCAGACGGCAGCGCAAGCCAGGAGUGAAAGCCCGGGGCCCAACCCCGGGACUGCUCUUGGAACUGCGCGGCUGGAGUGCAGGAGGGGCAGGCGGAAUUCCUGGUGUAGCGGUGAAAUGCGUAGAUAUCAGGAGGAACUCCGAUCGCGAAGGCAUUGUACCGGAGCAAGACUGACGCUGAGGCUCGAAAGUGCGGGUAUCAAACAGGAUUAGAUACCCUGGUAGUC
rnacentral:rRNA from 1 species